GCCUGGUGCAGUGGUGCACGCCUGUAAUCCCAGGACUUGGGAGGCUGAGGCAGGAGGAUCACAAGUUCAAUCAAUGUCAGCCUCAGCAACUUUGCAAGGCACUUAGCAACUCAGUGAGAUUCUGUCUUAA
rnacentral:sRNA from 1 species